rnacentral:rRNA from 1 species
UACGUAGGGGGCGAGCGUUGUUCGGAAUUACUGGGCGUAAAGGGCGUGUAGGCGGUGCGGUAAGUCGGGCGUGAAAUCCCCGGGCUUAACCCGGGGCGGUCGUUCGAAACUGCCGUGCUAGAGUGCAGGAGAGGGAAGUGGAAUUCCCGGUGUAGCGGGUGAAAUGCGUAGAUAUCGGGAGGAACACCUGCGGCGAAGGCGGCUUCCUGGACUGCAACUGACGCUGAGGCGCGAAAGCUAGGGGAGCAAACAGG